UGCAUGGAGGCGUCCGGCUCCCUCCCCGCCUCCCGCCAGCGAGGCCCAGGCCAGACCUAGUCCCGCUCUCCAGGGGUAAAGACAUCACGGUACCCAGGUUGGAUGCUACCAGAAUCCAGUGCCCGGCGGGAGAAGUAGGGCACCCACUCUCCUGGCACAGGCAGCUCCUUAUCAUGGCCCGGCCUGGCUGCUGCUCGCCCAUCUCCUGCUUGCCUGGCUGGAGGUUCGAGAGGCACAGGCAGCACCCUGAGAGACCCCCCAGGGCUCCGCAUCACCUCCAGGCAGCAGGAUCUAGGUGGGGUGAGGGUCUCUGACUUGCAUCCAUGUGUGGGCAUGGGGAGAGCUCCCUGCCGGGAUCUACUCCUGCCUGGUUAGAUCUUCUCUGAGGCUGAGAGCCAGUGACCCACCCUGUGAGACCCCCACUACCCCCUCCCGCCAUGUGUGAGGUGAUGCCCACCAUCAGCGAGGGGGACCCCCUGGGCCCCUCCCACCCUGCCGACGCGGACGCCAACUUCGAGCAGCUGAUGGUGAACAUGCUGGAUGAGCGGGAGAAGCUGCUGGAGUCCCUGCGCGAGAGUCAGGAGAGCUUGGGGGCCACUCAGAGCCGGCUGCAGGAUGCCCUGCACCAGCGGGAUCAGCUGCAACGCCACCUCAACUCUGCCCUGCCCCAGGAGUUUGCCACGCUGACCCGGGAGCUGAACGUCUGUCAGGAGCAGCUUCUGGAGAGGGAGGAGGAGAUCUCGGAGCUGAAGGCCGAGCGAAACAACACGAGGCUGCUCCUGGAGCACUUGGAAUGCCUGGUGUCCCGCCACGAGCGCUCUCUACGGAUGACGGUGGUCAAACGUCAGGCCCAGUCGCCCUCGGGCGUGUCCAGUGAGGUGGAAGUCCUCAAGGCCCUCAAGUCCCUAUUUGAGCACCACAAGGCGCUGGAUGAGAAGGUGCGGGAGCGGCUGAGGGCGGCCCUGGAGCGUGUCACCACCCUGGAGGAGCAGCUGGCCGGGGCCCACCAACAGGUGUCUGCCCUGCAGCAGGGCUCCCGGCCCCGAGAUGGAGCUCCAGGGGAGGCGGGGAGCCGAGGAGAGACCCCGGAGCCGGGGCCCAAGCUCCCGUGGAAGCGACUGACCAAUGGCUCGGUGCAUCCGGAGGAUGAGGUGGGGCGGACCCUGGAGCUGCAGGAGCUGCUGGAGAAGCAGAACCUGGAGCUGGCCCAGGCCCGGGAGCGGUUGGCGGCUCUGGUGGCUACCGUGGCCGAGCUGGAGGAGGACCUGGGAACUGCCCGCAAGGACCUUAUCAAGUCGGAGGAGUUGAGCAGCAAGCACCAGCGGGACCUCCGUGAGGCCCUGGCGCAGAAGGACGACAUGGAAGAACGCAUCACCACCCUGGAGAAGCGCUAUCUCGCGGCCCAGCGGGAGGCCACGUCCAUCCAUGACCUCAACGACAAGCUGGAGAAUGAGCUGGCUACCGAGGCAUCCCUGCACCGCCAGUGCGAGGAGAAAUCCCGGCACCUGCAGGAGCUGUUGGAGCUGGCUGAGCAGAAGCUGCAGCAGACCAUCCGCAAGGCCGAGACCCUGCCCGAGGUAGAGGCCGAGCUGGCCCAGAGGAUCGCGGCCCUCACCAAGGCUGAGGAGCGGCAUGGCAACAUUGAGGAACAUCUGAGGCAGCUGGAGGGGCAGUUGGAGGAGAAGAACCAGGAGCUGGCCAGGGUGCGCCAGCGAGAGAAGAUGAACGAGGACCACAACAAGCGCCUGUCGGACACGGUGGACCGGCUGCUGAGCGAGUCCAACGAGCGGCUACAGCUGCACCUCAAGGAGCGAAUGGCGGCCCUGGAGGAGAAGAAUACGUUGAUCCAGGAGCUGGAGAGUUCCCAGCGGCAGAUUGAGGAGCAGCAUCACCACAAGGGCCGGCUGUCGGAGGAGAUCGAGAAGCUGCGCCUGGAAGUGGACCAGCUGCGGGGGCGGAGUGGCCCGUUUGGGGAGGGGGUCCAUUCCAGGUCCCACUUGGGGAGUGCCGUGGAUCUAAGAUUUCCCCUAAGCAGCGUGGUUCAUGCUCCCCCAGGCCCCCAUGCCCUUCACCGCCGCUUCUCUGCCUUACGGGAAGAGCCCAGCAAGGACUGGGAGCUUUCUCCACUCCCGGGGGUCCUGGCCCCAGCGGCCCCUGCUUUUGACAGCGACCCUGAGAUCUCGGAUGUGGACGAAGAAGAGCCAGCGGGGUCGGUGGGCCCUGUGGACGUCCUCUCCCCGAGCGGCCACUCGGAUGCCCAGACCCUGGCCAUGAUGCUCCAGGAGCAGCUGGACGCCAUCAAUGAGGAGAUCAGGAUGAUCCAGGAAGAGAAGGAGUCCACAGAGCUGCGGGCCGACGAGAUCGCGACCCGGGUGACCAGUGGGAGCAUGGAGGCCCUGAACCUGACGCAGCUGCGCAAACGGGGCUCGAUCCCCACCUCCCUCACUGCCCUGUCCCUGGCCAGUGCCUCUCCGCCGCUCAGCGGCCGUUCCACCCCCAAGCUCACCUCCCGCAGUGCCGCCCAGGAUCUGGACCGCAUGGGGGUCAUGACAUUGCCAAGCGAUUUAAGGAAACACAGGAGGAAGCUUCUGUCUCCAGUUGCUCGGGAAGAGAGCCGAGAAGACAAAACCACCAUAAAAUGUGAGACCUCUCCUCCUUCCUCACCCAGGACCCUGCGGCUGGAGAGGCUCGGCCACCUGGCCUCCAGCCAGGAAGAUGGAAAAAGCUCCUUGGACGACCAGGGCAGUAAUCCCAGCAGCAGCAGCAACAGCAGCCAGGAUUCUCUGCACAAGGGCACCAAGCGCAAAGGCAUCAAGUCUUCCAUCGGCCGCCUGUUUGGGAAGAAGGAGAAGGGCCGGCUCAUCCAGCUGAGCAGGGAAGGAGCUCCGGGCCAAGUUAUGCUGUCGGAAUCGGAGCCGAACCUGCAGGAGCCCCUGGUGCCCUCCAAGCUGGGCACUCAGGCAGAGAAGGACCGGCGAUUAAGGAAGAAGCACCAGCUCCUGGAGGAUGCCCGUCGCAAGGGGAUGCCCUUUGCCCUCUGGGACGGACCCACGGUGGUGUCAUGGCUGGAGCUGUGGGUGGGGAUGCCCGCCUGGUACGUGGCGGCCUGCCGUGCCAACGUCAAGAGUGGCGCUAUCAUGUCGGCCCUGUCGGACACGGAGAUCCAGCGGGAGAUCGGCAUCAGUAACGCCCUGCACCGGCUCAAGCUCCGACUGGCCAUCCAGGAGAUGGUGUCGCUGACCAGCCCUUCUGCCCCGCCUACCUCCAGGACGUCUUCUGGGAAUGUCUGGGUGACCCACGAGGAGAUGGAGACACUGGCGACGUCAACCAAGACUGAUAACGAAGAGGGUAGCUGGGCUCAGACCUUGGCCUACGGGGAUAUGAACCACGAGUGGAUCGGGAACGAGUGGCUGCCCAGCCUGGGCCUCCCCCAGUACCGCAGCUACUUCAUGGAGUGCUUGGUGGAUGCCCGCAUGCUGGACCACCUCACCAAGAAGGAUCUGCGCGUCCACUUGAAGAUGGUGGACAGUUUCCACCGGUCCAGCCUGCAGUAUGGCAUCAUGUGCCUGAAGAGGCUCAACUAUGACCGGAAGGAACUGGAGAAGAGGCGAGACGAGAGCCAGCAUGAAAUUCAAGAUGUGCUGGUGUGGACCAACGACCAGGUGAUGCACUGGAUUCAGUCCAUUGGCCUGCGGGAAUACGCCAACAACCUCCACGAGAGCGGGGUGCACGGGGCCCUCCUCGCCCUGGACGAGAACUUCGAUCACAACACGCUGGCCCUGGUGUUACAGAUCCCCACGCAGAAUACCCAGGCCCGGCAAGUAAUGGAAAGAGAGUUCAACAACCUCCUGGCCUUGGGCACGGACCGACGGCUGGACGAUGGAGAUGACAAGGCAUUCCGGCGGGCCCCAUCCUGGAGGAAGCGAUUCCGGCCUCGGGAUGCCCAUGGGGGCAGUGUGCUCAGCACGUCGGCAGAGGCACUUCCUGCCGCCUUCCGAGUCUCCGCACUGGGGCCCCUGCAGCCUCCUUCAGCCCCUCCAAAGAAGAUGUUGCCAGAAGCCGGGACACCAGGGUCACAGAGAUUGGAGGCCUCUACGGUCCGGACCUACUCCUGCUGAGCCCCCGCCCCGCCCUGCCCCGGGUCUGACGGGGAUCUGCCCGUCGCUCGGGUGCAUUCCCACUAUCUGUAUGGACACAUGCUCUCCGCCUUUCGAGACUGAGUGCCCCCAACCAGCUCCCUCUUCACCUGGCGACAGACCCGUCCCCUCCUGCUUGUUCCCUGCCAAGUCGCUCCCAGUCUUGUCCGUGAACUCUCCAGUCACCCUGGCCUCUGGGUCUAAGAAUAUACUCAUCGUCCACUGCUCCCCUUGGCUUUUCUGUGUCCCUCAGGUUUCCUUCGUCCUCGUGUCUCGUGUGGAUGUUGCUAAGGGCCUGUUGGCCGGGCCCCAGCCCGCCACGCUAGGAGUGAGGGCCCAACCCUGACUCUUUCCUCUUCUGCCUGGGGGUCUGGAGGCUGACAGUGACUCAUCCCCUUAUCCUGGCAGCCAGGGGCAGAGGGUAUCCUGUUCGGCAGGUUGGCACAGCUCCAAGCUGAAGGGGCGAUGGCACCAGCAUCGACUCUGGGCCUGUCCUCCCGGAGGCAGCAAUGAUCUCUAUUCUGGUCAGUCUUCAUCUGUAGACUCAUUGCAAGUUUUCUGACCUUAAGAAGCCUUUCUUCAGCGCCCACCCCCCACACGCCCCCAAGCUGGAGUUUGUGUCACCCUUAGGGGAUAUCUGGAUCUCCACUUUCUCUUCCUUCUCCAGCAGCUUUAGACUGGGGGGUGGGAGUGGGUUUAAAGGCAGAGAGAAGGGACCUUAAAUCCACAUCCAUCUGUCCACAAUGAGCAGUUUAAGCUAAGGGGUCUUUCCCACCUUACCUCCGGAGUAGGCUCUGUGCCAGUUCCUGCAGUAGGUUCUGGGAAGUUCCAGGUAGACCAGAGGGCUGGUGAGAGAAAUAGGGACCGGAAGGGAAGGAGAAACCUGGAUGGGUUGAAAGAGAGAGGCCCAGAGUGGAGUCCGGUUAGGUGAAGCUCCUGGCACUGCUGUCCUCUUGCCCUCUCUUUCCAGAUGCCCACAGAAGACUGUGGGUUUUCCACUUGAAAUAAAGCAAAUCCAACUACCAGGACACCCUUGCUGCUUGGGGCUAGCAGCUCCUACCUAGGGGUCAGCUGCCUCCCCACUUCCCAGACUGCUUCCCAGAGAGAGGCAGUGGGGAUUGGCAGCCCUGCCAGAUCCCAGCAGGGAUUGAGACCACUCCUGAGCCCAGCUGGGGCAGGGCUGGGGCCAGAGGAGUGACUGCAGGGCUACGUGAACUUUUGAGCAGGCUCACUAUGGCCUAUCUGACAGCUCCUGCCCCUAUCCUAAUUCUGCCAUGGUCUUCUGGUGGGGGGCGGGGCAGGGGACUGACAUAGUCCCAGCAAGCCCUGGGGGAUUGAGAGGGAUAAGGGGUCCCAGGACAGCAGUUGGUGGUAAACUUUGACUUAGAGGGCCUCCCCUGAGCUCUCCAUUGCCCCAGGGUGAGCCUGGAAAUCUCUCUGCUCCCAGCUUUUGAAUAUUGAUCCUGGCUCCAUCCAGGAUAACUCAGGGCCAAAUUCAGUCCCCGACUCCUCCCAGGGUGCCGCACUCUACUUAGUCGCUUCCUCGGGGUGUGAGAGCCCCUUUGGGCCUGGGACAGUGUCGGUCCAUCUCCAGGCUACUGUCAAUGCUCUGCAGAGCACCGGUCCCUCAGCCAACCAGUGGGCACGAAGCAUGCUUCCUUCCAGAAGGGAAUGCUGAGGCCACAAGGGUGGAUGGCUGAGCAGAGUUCUCCGACCUGGGCAGAGAGGAGGGAAGGGAGAGUGGUCAGCGCCAGUGGUCAGCGCUUGGGUCUUUCAUUGCUUUUUUCAGGAAGGGGUUACAGGGGAGGAAAUCCUUCACAUAAUCUUUGCCUUGUCUCCCUCCCUUUGGGGUCAGUCCCAAGGCUUGAGACGCUACUGAGGCCUCGGCUCUGCUAGGGCGGAGGGAGUUGUGAGGGAUUCACAGGCCUGAAGGUGGUCUGGACUAAGUGAGGAUCUGUUCCCCACCGCUCCUUCCCAGGAGCAAGCGAACCUGGUUUAUGCAGGGACCAGAGGGGUUUGGGAGCCAAGAAGGGAGUCUUAGUGGGUGAGAGUGGGGUGUGGAUGGGAGGUGGAGGAGAGCGAGAUUAGGGGAGGGAGAGAGACAGGGAACCGCAAUAUGGGUCAGAAUGUAAAGCCCUUUCCAGGCCUUCUAUGGAUCAGCGUUAGGGGGUCAAGGAUCUGAGUCUUGGGAGCAGCUGACUUGGUCACAGGGAUCACGGUGCCAUCAAUUACACUUUAGGGAACUUUUCAAUUUUUUAAAUUUUCCCCCAGCACUUGGGGGCUAGGGUUGGAAAGGCUUGCCCUGAGCUGCAGCCCAUCUCCCCAGGCCCCUCCCCAGCUUGGUUCCGGGGCAGCAGCUGGAAGAAGUUGGCCAUGGAAAAGGAGCGGGGCAGGGGUGUUGUCUUGGUGUAUCCUUACCUAAUGCCUGAUAGAUUUUUUAAAUUUUCAUUUGGAGAGUCACCAGUGGCCCACCAGUCCUUGCCCUCACUCUGUCCCAUCAGGUUCCUCUUCAGUACUGUAUUGGCUCCUCUAGCAUCAGGAAUGGAUGUGUUUGUGUGUGUGUGUCCGUGUGCGCGUGUGCGUAUGGAUGUGUGUGGAUGUGUGUACACACCAAUAAACUCAGAUUUUAAAACAA